rnacentral:misc_RNA from 1 species
GAUGAAGAACGUAGCGAAAUGCGAUAAGUAAUGUGAAUUGCAGAAUUCAGUGAAUCAUCGAAUCUUUGAACGCACAUUGCGCCCAUUAGAAUUCUAGUGGGCAUGCCUGUUCGAGCGUCAUUAAGUCCACUUAAGCCCUGCUUAGUGUUGGGAGACUGCUCCAGCGGUGCUACCCUGUAGCUACCCUGCAGCUCCUCAAAGACAGCGGCGGAGUUGUGGUAUCCUCUGAGCUUAGUAACUUGUUCUAGCUUUCGAGUACACCACUUCCCCUGCCGUAAAACCCUUAAUUUUUAAUGGUUGACCUCGGAUCAGGUAGGAAUACCCGCUGAACUUAAGCAUAUCAAUAAGCGGAGGA